UGAAGCCUGAAUCACUGUGAAACAUGUC
rnacentral:piRNA from 1 species